UACGUAGGGUGCAAGCGUUGUCCGGAAUUAUUGGGCGUAAAGAGCUCGUAGGUGGCCUGUCGCGUCGGCUGUGAAAAACUCGGGGGCUCAACUCCGAGCUUGCAGUCGAUACGGGGCAGGCUAGAGUUCGGCAGGGGGAGACUGGAAUUCCUGGUGUAGCGGUGAAAUGCGCAGAUAUCAGGAGGAACACCGGUGGCGAAGGCGGGGUCUCUGGGGCCGAUACUGACACUGAGGAGCGAAAAGCGUGGGGGGAGCGAAACAG
rnacentral:rRNA from 1 species